UUUUUAACUAGAAUAUAUUUAGAAUUCACUUGUAAUUUUUGAGGCACCUUUAUUUUUUUAAAAAUAUUAUUGCAAUUGGCAUAACUCAAUCAAAAUUUUCAGACAAACUAAAAAUAAGCAGUAAAAAUAAUUCAUAUUAGACCUACCUACACAAAAUAUUAAUAUAAUUACCUCAAAUCGCCAGCAAGGAUUCUGUUAGAGGAGAGGAUCGAAUCAUAUUUCUUUUAAGUCAGUAAAGAGUGAAAGAACACAUAUAUAUGGCCAUUGAUAUCUGCACAUUUUACUAAAAUGAUAGCUACUUCCAUUUACCGCUAUCAGAUACGGUGACGCAAAAAAACUCAUAUUUAUUUAGAACCAGAAUCGUUAACUUUUGUAAACUGUUUCCAUAAAUCGCCAUCAAAACUCAGGUAAAGGGGAGAAGAAAGCCAUAUUUACUUAGAACCAGGUUUCAUCGCAUCAGUUCAUAAGCAAGAGGGAUUUCAAGUAAAUAAGUGCGCUGCAUAAACUGAAAAUUAAGCAAACGCGUGUACACACUAGAGAAGUCAUCUACAGCGGUUCUUGACCUGUGCAAUCUGAAAAGAAAUAUUUUGUGAUUCUUGACCAGUGCAACCUGUGAAGUGACCUCUUGCUGUUGUUGAUCUAUUUAAUCUGAGAGGUAAUUUUUGACUGCACUUAGACUGUGCGAUCUGCGAAGUGAUCUUUUGCGAUUCUUGGCGUAUGCAAUUUGGGAAGUGAUCUUUUGCGGUCAUUGGACUAAUAACUAUUUUGACAGACAGUACCUGGCUGACGAGAAGAAACGCACCCGAAAUUUGUUUUGGACUUAAUCAAGCACUGACACGCAUUAUAGUCUAGUAGCAAUAUGAAUUUUGAGCAGAUAGAUUUAUUAACACCAAAUGAAGCGGAACAUUUAUUCUAUACCACCAAUCUUGGUAUAAAUAUCAGGCGUAGACACUAUGAGCAACUGGCAGACGAGUUGGUGUUUGUGAUGACACCAGCUGUUGAGCCGGAACUUUUUGAAGCCUAUAUUUAUUAUCGCAGUAAUGGUUCUGUAGCCUUUCUGGACAAAUUCUGUUGUCGUUCCGCCGAUAUAAAAUUGUUCUAUAAGGUAAGAGGAUUCAGUAGUUCAUUAGGUGUUGAGGUGAAUCGUCGGUGCUCAGCAGAAACAGCUCUUAUCUUGGCAAUGCAUCUUUAAGUCUGAAAUACAUGGAAGAAGAAAGGAUGUAGUGCUACUUGUAGCAUGCUGUGGUAUCAAUCUGAUUAUAGAAUUUUUGGAAUUCAUGAUUAUAAUUUGAGUUUGAAAUUAUUUUUACAGUAUGUAAAAACUUGAUAAAAUGAAAAAUCUAAAAAUUAGUGCCUAAA